AUCCAGCUGACGAGUCCCGAAUUGGACGAAAUGCGCAUCCUGGAU
rnacentral:hammerhead_ribozyme from 1 species